rnacentral:rRNA from 1 species
UACAGAGGAGCCAAGCGUUGUCCGGAUUGACUGGGCGUAAAGCGCACGCAGGCGGUCGCGCGCGUGGGGUGUGAAAUCUGGCCGCUUAACGGCCAGGCGCCAUCCCAUACGGCACGACUGGAGUGAUGCAGAGGUCGAUGGAAUUGCCGGUGUAGUGGUGAAAUGCGCAGAUAUCGGGAGGAACACCGGUGGCGAAGGCGGUUCUCUGGGCCUGUACUGACGCUGAGGAGCGAAAGCGUGGGGAGCGAACAGG